rnacentral:lncRNA from 1 species
UCUGGCUGUCCUUGUCCUCUUCAUCAACAAGAAGCUGUGCACUGAAAACGUAAGAGGACAUCCACAUCCAGAGCGACGAGGGAAGAGAAAGCACUCAAGAGACAAGACCGGGGCCCACACAGGAGCGGCUGAGACGUGUUGAGAGUGAAAUGGUCACAGCCACUAAGAGACCACCACCCUAUCAAACACAGUUGCUCUGUUCCCUGCAAAGACCUACUCCAUAGACCUUGGUGCAAGAACCAGCAUGCUGCCUGGUUUUACUUACUGCCAACGGUGCUUACGUACUGCACAUGUUUUCUUUAUGUGUACAUUAAUAAAGUUUUGCCUGUUAUAAAAA